GACGAACGCUGGCGGCGUGCUUAACACAUGCAAGUCGAGCGGAAAGGCCCUGCUUGCAGGGUACUCGAGUGGCGAACGGGUGAGUAACACGUGGGUGAUCUGCCCUGCACUUCGGGAUAAGCUUGGGAAACUGGGUCUAAUACCGGAUAGGAACCAUCUUUAGUGUGGUGGUUGGAAAGUUUUUUCGGUGUAGGAUGAGCUCGCGGCCUAUCAGCUUGUUGGUGGGGUAAUGGCCUACCAAGGCGGCGACGGGUAGCCGGCCUGAGAGGGUGUACGGCCACAUUGGGACUGAGAUACGGCCCAGACUCCUACGGGAGGCAGCAGUGGGGAAUAUUGCACAAUGGGCGCAAGCCUGAUGCAGCGACGCCGCGUGGGGGAUGAAGGCCUUCGGGUUGUAAACUCCUUUCGCUAGGGACGAAGCUUUUUGUGACGGUACCUAGAUAAGAAGCACCGGCUAACUACGUG
rnacentral:rRNA from 1 species